rnacentral:rRNA from 1 species
GUGUCAGCCGCCGCGGUAAUACAUACUGUGCGAACGUUAUUCGGAUUCACUGGGCUUAAAGGGUGCGUAGGCGGCUUGUUAAGUAGGGUGUGAAAGCCCCCAGCUCAACUGGGGAACUGCACUCUAUACUGGCGAGCUGGAGUGAGAUAGGGGUGUGUGGAACUGCCAGUGGAGCGGUGAAAUGUGUUGAUAUUGGCAGGAACGCCGGUGGCGAAAGCGACACACUGGGUCUCAACUGACGCUGAGGCACGAAAGCCAGGGGAGCGAACGGGAUUAGAAACCCCAGUAGUCC